AGCGUAGACGGCAAGGCAAGUCUGAUGUGAAAACCCAGGGCUUAACCCUGGGACUGCAUUGGAAACUGUCUGGCUCGAGUGCCGGAGAGGUAAGCGGAAUUCCUAGUGUAGCGGUGAAAUGCGUAGAUAUUAGGAAGAACACCAGUGGCGAAGGCGGCUCUCUGGACGGUAACUGACGUUGAGGCUCGAAAGCGUGGGGAGCAAACA
rnacentral:rRNA from 1 species